UUCAAUCUAAAGCCGGUUGAUAUGUCGAA
rnacentral:sRNA from 1 species